GCCUGGCUUGGAGACACCUGUUCUGUGUCCAGGCAUUUUAGAGAAAAACUCUCCAAAGCUGUCAACAGACAGAGAAGGGCUGCCUGUUUCCAUGGGAACGUGCUCCCUGAGCCCUGCAUGCAAGGAGUGCUGCGGAUUGCCGGACACUGCUGGGAGAGCCAGGAUUGAUCCUGGGCAUUGCUGUGAGGUGCACUGCCUGUAGGCGAAGUGGGAAGGGGACACAAUGGGGAGCACAGCACCAUGUCCCUGCCAAGGGGACAGAAGGGAUGGCUGGGUGCCUGCAGAUCCUAGUGACUGCUAAAAUGUGGGAAAGGAUUGGAGAGCAACGCAGAGA
rnacentral:lncRNA from 1 species